UACGGGGGGAGCAAACGUUGUUCGGAAUCACUGGGCGUAAAGGGCGUGUAGGCGGUUCGGUAAGUGGAAUGUGAAAUCCCCCGGCUCACCCGGGGAACUGCAUCCCAUACUGCUGGACUUGAGUGCGGGAGAGGAUGGAGGAAUUCCUGGUGUAGCGGUGAAAUGCGUAGAUAUCAGGAGGAACACCUGAGGUGAAGACGGGUUGCUAGGCCGACACUGACGCUGAGUGCGCGAAAGCCAGGGGAGCAAACGGG
rnacentral:rRNA from 1 species